CGCCGCAGCCUGUGGAGCAGGUGUUAGCACACACAGGCCUUGGCGGGCUGUGAAGGCUGGUGACCUCUGAGGCCUAAGGCUGGCGACCCAUCGGCACACUGGAGUCCACAGAAGCCCUGUGCUGCCUCCCCUUCGCCUUGACUCCUCUUUUCUAAGGCCCCCGAGACACUUGCUUAUUAUUUAAGUUUGUGUAUAUGUGUCUCUUGUAAACGACCAAAUGUUUGGGUUGUUACCAAAUUUCGAAAGUCGGUCUUUCAACAGGGACACUCGCAGCCGGGCCGCAUUUAUGCUGCAUUUAAUGAAUGUGUCUAGUAUUUGCCUGCCUUCUCUAGUGUGAGGAACAAUCCCAGGACUUUGCUCAAGGAUUUGUUAAAUGUGGCAGAACUGAGGAUCAGAGAAGUAAUACUUUGUGCAUGGUCACACAGUUAGUUGAGUGGAAAAGCCAGGAUAUGAAGAAAGGACUUUCUGACUCCAAAGCCAAUGUAGUUUCCACUGUUCCAUAGAGUAAAACACUCAUUUUAUCUUCUGCACUUUGGAUAAUAAAGAUGUAGAGUGACCUAGAAUAGCUGAAAUGGGAUGUGAUAACACAGUUUCUCAGGCACACAAAAAAACUAGAUUGGUUAUUGCUUAUGUAGUAGGAAGAAUAACAGCCCCUCAAGUUGUUCACAUCCUAAUCCAAAACACCUGUGAGGAUAUUACCUUGGCAAAAGGAACUUUUCAGAUGUGAUAAUGUUAAGGAUGUUGAGAUGAGGAGGUUAUCCUGUAUUGUUCAGUUGAAAACAAGGGAAUUUACAGAUGUGAUACUUUGCAGUGAUGAUUAUAUUAUAGGCCAACGUGCUCUAACAGAAACAUCUGCAAAGGAAUCCGAUAAAAUUAUGCUCUCAGUUAAUCCCAUCAGGAAGAAUUACUGAUGACAUUAGCUUUGGUCAGUUUGGAGUUUCAGCAUUAUGUUAAAACAAGCUUGCAUUUCUGGGAUACAUUCCAGUGUAUCAAGAGGGAAAAGUGCCGGAACCUACCAGAGAUUCCAUGGGAAGCAGUUGCAGAGCAGAAUAAGAAGGAGC